UACUCGAGUGGCGAACGGGUGAGUAACACGUGGGUGAUCUGCCCUGCACUUUGGGAUAAGCCUGGGAAACUGGGUCUAAUACCGAAUACACCUCGCUGGCCGCAUGGUCUGGUGGGGGAAAGCUUUUGCGGUGUGGGAUGGGCCCGCGGCCUAUCAGCUUGUUGGUGGGGUGAUGGCCUACCAAGGCGACGACGGGUAGCCGGCCUGAGAGGGUGACCGGCCACACUGGGACUGAGAUACGGCCCAGACUCCUACGGGAGGCAGCAGUGGGGAAUAUUGCACAAUGGGCGCAAGCCUGAUGCAGCGACGCCGCGUGGGGGAUGACGGCCUUCGGGUUGUAAACCCCUUUCAGCACAGACGAAGCGCGAGUGACGGUAUGUGCAGAAGAAGGACCGGCCAACUACGUGCCAGCAGCCGCGGUAAUACGUAGGGUCCGAGCGUUGUCCGGAAUUACUGGGCGUAAAGAGCUCGUAGGUGGUUUGUCGCGUUGUUCGUGAAAACUCACAGCUCAACUGUGGGCGUGCGGGCGAUACGGGCAGACUGGAGUACUGCAGGGGAGACUGGAAUUCCUGGUGUAGCGGUGGAAUGCGCAGAUAUCAGGAGGAACACCGGUGGCGAAGGCGGGUCUCUGGGCAGUAACUGACGCUGAGGAGCGAAAGCGUGGGGAGCGAACAGGAUUAGAUACCCUGGUAGUCCACGCCGUAAACGGUGGGUACUAGGUGUGGGUUUCCUUCCUUGGGAUCCGUGCCGUAGCUAACGCAUUAAGUACCCCGCCUGGGGAGUACGGCCGCAAGGCUAAAACUCAAAGAAAUUGACGGGGGCCCGCACAAGCGGCGGAGCAUGUGGAUUAAUUCGAUGCAACGCGAAGAACCUUACCUGGGUUUGACAUGCACAGGACGUGCCUAGAGAUAGGUAUUCCCUUGUGGCCUGUGUGCAGGUGGUGCAUGGCUGUCGUCAGCUCGUGUCGUGAGAUGUUGGGUUAAGUCCCGCAACGAGCGCAACCCUUGUCUUAUGUUGCCAGCACGUAAUGGUGGGGACUCGUAAGAGACUGCCGGGGUCAACUCGGAGGAAGGUGGGGAUGACGUCAAGUCAUCAUGCCCCUUAUGUCCAGGGCUUCACACAUGCUACAAUGGCCGGUACAAAGGGCUGCGAUGCCGUGAGGUGGAGCGAAUCCUUUCAAAGCCGGUCUCAGUUCGGAUCGGGGUCUGCAACUCGACCCCGUGAAGUCGGAGUCGCUAGUAAUCGCAGAUCAGCAACGCUGCGGUGAAUACGUUCCCGGGCCUUGUACACACCGCCCGUCACGUCAUGAAAGUCGGUAACACC
rnacentral:rRNA from 1 species